UACGUAGGGUGCGAGCGUUAAUCGGAAUUACUGGGCGUAAAGCGUGCGCAGGCGGUCUGUUAAGACCGAUGUGAAAUCCCCGGGCUUAACCUGGGAACUGCAUUGGUGACUGGCAGGCUUUUGAGUGUGGCAGAGGGAGGUAGAAUUCCACGUGUAGCAGUGAAAUGCGUAGAGAUGUGGAGGAAUACCGAUGGCGAAGGCAGCCUCCUGGGCCAACACUGACGCUCAUGCACGAAAGCGUGGGGAGCAAACAG
rnacentral:rRNA from 1 species